GCAGGCACGCAAAUUACCCACUCCCGGCACGGGGAGGUAGUGACGAAAAAUAACAAUGCGAGACUCNUCCGAGGCCUCGUGAUUGGAAUGAGUANACUUUAAAUCCUUUGACGAGGAUCUAUUGGAGGGCAAGUCUGGUGCCAGCAGCCGCGGUAAUUCCAGCUCCNAAUAGCGUAUAUUAAAGUUGUUGCGGUUAAAAAGCUCGUAGUUGGAUCUCGGUCCNGGACCGGCGGUCCGCCUCGUGCGNUCUCACUGCCGGCCCNNNNNNNNNNNNNCGGCCGUCCCUCGGUGCUNUUCGCUGAGUGUCUUGGGUGACCGGAACGUUUACUUUGAACAAAUUAGAGUGCUCNAAGCAGGCNAGUCCCGCCUGAAUAGCCCAGCAUGGAAUAAUGGAAUAGGACCUCGGUUCUAUUUUGUUGGUUUUCGGAACCCGAGGUAAUGAUUAAUAGGGACAGACGGGGGCAUUCGUAUUGCGACGCUAGAGGUGAAAUUCUUGGACCGUNNCAAGACGAACUACUGCGAAAGCAUUUGCCAAGAAUGUUUUCAUUNNUCAAGAACGAAAGUUAGAGGNUCGAAGGCGANNAGNUACCGCCCUAGUUCUAACCAUAAACGAUGNNGACCAGCGNUCCGCCGGAGUUNCUNCGAUGACNNGGCGGGCAGCUUCCGGGAAACCAAAGUNUUUGGGUUCCGGGGGAAGUAUGGUUGCAAAGCUGAAACUUAAAGGAAUUGACGGAAGGGCACCACCAGGAGUGGAGCCUGCGGCUUAAUUUGACUCAACACGGGAAAACUNACCCGGCCCGGACACCGUAAGGAUUGACAGAUUGAGAGCUCUUUCUUGAUUCGGUGGGUGGUGGUGCAUGGCCGUUCUUAGUUGNUGGAGCGAUUUGUCUGGUUAAUUCCGAUAANGAACGANACNCUNNCCUGCUAAAUAGACGACNGAUCNNGGGGUGCCGGUGCCCUCCUUGUGGGG
rnacentral:rRNA from 1 species